rnacentral:lncRNA from 1 species
AAAAUUUGUAUGCUUUUUUAAAGCUGUCUACUUUUGAACUUCCUCUUCUCUUUUCCCCUCUUUAUUUCUAAAAUCUCGGUGGCUCAUGAAGAAGAGAAAUGGAGAAAAAGGAAGAAGUAGAGCAACAAUUUCGGACGAGUAUUAUAAUGAUGGUUGCAUAAUUUCUAAAAAAUCGGUAAAGGAACUGCAAAUUGAAGAUAUAAUGGUUCAAGCUAAACACAGCCUGAAGAAUCAAGGAAAAAGAGAUAGAAUAAUAUGUGAAAACCUUGGGUAGGGGAAACCUAAUUGUAGGAGAAAAUUUCGCUGGUUGUCAAUGAAGAAAAACGGUGCGAAGAAUUGAUUUGAAGUGAAUUUUGGCGCAUUAUUUGCUGAAACUGGUGAAGAAGUGCAUCUGUGGGUUCAAAAAGGAGAGAGAACUGAAGCUAAGGUAACUCUUUUUCAUUGCAGUUGUAUAAAAUAUACUGAUUUUUAUAAUCAUAUCCUUUGUAAGUUAUGGUUAACUAUGCAAUUUGGAGUUAUUAUAUGCCUUUUUUUUUCUUUUUAAUUGUUAUUAUAUGCUUUUAAUAACUCGUUUGAUAUGUAAUGAUGCAAGGAUUAGAAUAAUAUUAGCUUUGUUUAAUGUAUUGGAUUAAGUUGUAUUACGAUGUUUCUAUUACAUAGAGUAUAUUAGUUGGUUUUUGCUACUUAUAUCAAUAGAUUUUAGUUACAUAUAUGACUAGGUCAGUAGGUUGUAGUGACAUAUAUUAAUAUAUUUUAGUGAAAUAUAUUAAUCCCCCAUUUCACAGUAAGAGUCCCAUUUUACGGUUUGCCCCUAAUGUAGUGGUUAGUUUAGUAUUGGUGAAAAAUGAUGGAGUUCUGACAGUAAAUUUGAGGAGAUUUAUAAUUUUAAUACUAUCAUCACUAGAAAUAAGUCUUAUUUUGAAACAAAAAGACAUUGAUAAAUGGGACUUUUGUUAUGAAACAGAGGGGUACUAGAUUGUUGUUUGUGUAUUAAUAGGUUUUUGUUAAAUAUCGCAGUAUUUUACUUAUUUUACUACUCUCUGUGUUGCCAUAAUGCUAAUUUGUUCUUUACAACUAGCUAGAACUUACAAUUCACUUCAUGCAUUUAAAAGGAAUAUGUUUGUGUUGGGUUUUCCUCUUGUUUGUCACCCUGUAACAGAUGCAAGUGGCCUCCCUACUUCUGGCGUUACUUGACGUUACAAUUUAACCACACCAUAGCAACUGUAGGGGUCCCUAGAGUAGUCACGAGUCAUAGAUUUCCUCUAGACUAACCUUUUAUCUUUUCAAGUGAUGACUGAUGAGAAACAAAUAUUCAAAAAGGAACUUUUCAUUAUUGAAUGGAACAUGGAAUAGGUUUUAGAUGUUAUUACUCCCUACCGAGAACAGAAACAUUUAUAUUUUAUUGAGUUGCAACUUGCAAACUGAGUUUAGCACACUUUGUACAGUUCAUAUAUCGAAGCUGUCACACAUAAAACAAGAAUUUAAAGAUUCACCAAACAUUAUCGACUUCAAACGAUGAGAAAGUAAAUAUGUAAUGCAAUACUAUUAGCGGUUAUUACCCAGGCGGCGCAAGUACCAUUUCUUUGCACGUCUUAUUUAAAGAGUAUCAUUAACAAACUUCAAUUUUGUCUGGAAGCCAAGUCUUCUUUAAGAGGUUACUCCAUCACUUCAGAAAUCUUCCUGAGAAAGCAAUAAAUUCAUUAUGGCAUCCGAAUGACUGGGGUUGAAGAUAUUUCCCUGAGCCUGAUUCUGAUUAUAGAAGUUCAUAGCGUUUGUGGUCAGCAUGUCUCCUGGUAAAAAAACCUCAUUAUCGUUUCCCUCUGUCGCCAUCUUAUCGGAAUCAAUGAGAUUAUUAAACCUAUUUCCCUCACUAAAUUUUGCUAUGGUUGGGUUGAGGAAACUCUCGAAGAAAGAAGUAGUAGUGAAAGGCUUCCCUUUGUCUGAAGUAUUAUCACUGUUGCUGUUGUUUCUUCUUGGAAAGGUUGCAUUGGAAAUGUUUUUGAUGGGAGCAAGAUGUUGACACGCUAGCGUGGAAGCAUAUAUUUGGCAGUCCUUCAAUAGGUAAUCUGUGGUGAUGCCUGUGUUGGCAGCUGUGUAUGCUGAAGGGAGCUCCUCAAUUUUUGGCAUGAAACUCACCAAUUUGCUCCGGCUGUCUUCGACUGCCCAAGUUUUAUUUGACAUGUUGCCUUUUUGACGGACUCUGCAUAGUACCCAAUCGUCCAACUGGGACAAACAAACAGAAAUCAGUUAGGAAUCAAUUAUAAAAUGGGAAUUUGUAGAGGUUGAAAAUGAUGAUGACUGAAAUUUUUUUAGGUAUCAAGAUUUAUCUUAUUGAUCAAGUAUUUAACUCGAAUAUCACCUUUUUGUGUUACUUCUUCAUAAUUCAUGUAGAGGUUGAAGAUGAUGAUGCCAGAAUAUUAUAGUAGUGAGAUUAAUUGAAGUGAAGACUUUUAAGAUAGUUGCAUGUUCUUGCCUUUAGGGAUGGUAUAAUAAGCUUGCCACCUUGAAGUGAUGAAGUAACUUGGGCAAUCUUUUUAUAUGCGUAAAAAAUGGUCAAAAAUUAAAUGGGACUCAUUGCAUAAAAAAAAGUCAGAAAAUCAAAUGGACUCUCAUUUAGAUGGAGUGAUUAUUGUUCUGGCACCUGAUUAUCUUUUGAUCAAGUAGUGAGAUUUUUGGUUUGUGAACUUCUGAUGUCUUCACAGCUUCGAGGAGGUGAGAAGGGUGGACCCUAGAGUCUAGAUGAGGUCUAAAUUCCUAAAUUUUAGAAAUAUAGUGCAAGUAUUUAAUCCUCCAUGGCACAAUAUAUUCUAUGUUAAUUUAUUUAGUAGUGUCAAUUUUUGUUUCACAAAAAAUGAUCUGAAGAUAAUUUUCAAAUCUUCAAAGAUAGUAAGGGGUUUGAAAGAUUAAAACAGAACACACUGAACAAAAUCUUAUUAUCUUACAUAUUGCAUUCAAGAUAAUUAGGAUUGUUGACAAAUUUUAUGUUCUUAAGUUGGCUUAACUUGUUUUGAUAUAGAAGUGCCUUUUUCUGAUGACUGAUUAGUGUUUCAACCCAACACAAGUUAUUUUCUAACGGCAAAGCAUAUUUUCUGCUCCUCUCAACUAAGAAACAUUUAAUCAUGAAAAAAACAUCAUGGCACACACUUACCCUCAUUGACCCUUUUGACCUCGAUGGUCGAGUCAUUGUGUCGGGCAAUCUGUACUCGUUCAUGAUCCAAUCAGUCUUUAAACCCUUUGGAGGACGGCCAGUGUAAAAUACAAGAGCUUUCUUCACCCCAAUUCUUCUUGAUCCAGAAGCACUAAGUAUAGGCUUGUCUGUCCCAGUAGCCUUCCAAAAACCAGAAGAUGCUGUCCUAUUAGGCCUUGCUCCUUUUGGGUACUUCCGAUCCCUUGGGGUAAAGAAAUACCAUUCAUCUUCUCCAAACAAGGCCUUCUCUGAAAAUUUAGAAAGAUAACAGUAAUUAUUGAAAGGCAAAAAAGUAAUAUAGUCUGAAUAAGUUUAUAGAUAAUAGAGAACUAACUCGGCAGCUCCCAUGGGUUGUAACUAUAAAGGUCUAUUUCGGCAACAACCUGAGCUGGCAGGGGACGUGAACCUAGUUUUUUCAGCAAGUAGUGAACGAUUAGCUCUUCAUCUGAAGGGUGGAAUCUGAAACCAGGAGGGAAAUGAGAAAUGGAAAUUGGUUCAUUCUCCAUUAGCAGAAUUUUCUUUCUUGUUGAAAAGGGAUGAUUGGAAGAAAAGGGGAAGGACUACAAGGGAGUAGCACUGGUUAUAUCGAUCACACGAGCUGUAUCUUGCCAGAAUUGUGUUGGAGGUAUUAUAAGGUGGGCAAUAUCGUUUAGAUGUUGACAUUCUUUAAGAUAAUAACAAAAAAGAUACGAUUUGGUUCAUAAUUAGGCUUAGGCAUUGGACUAUGAAAACAACCUUUUGAUUUUACUUGUUUGAACUGACAUUCAUCUACAUGUCCCUUGCCUCUUGGGGAUGACACUUAAUAGUUUUUUAAGUGCUGGGAGUUAUAUGGUGCUGUGCAGUCCCAUGGUUUUGAUUUGUGUUACAUUUUCUUCAGCAUUGAAAUACACACUAGGAAUUUACUUUGGUAUCGAAAUCUGUUUUUUAAAACUUAAACAUUGUUUUGGCCCUUCUGUGAGAGAAAUAUGAAAUACUACCUCGUUCUACAAUGAAUGUUACAAGCAGUUUUUAUUGUUUUAGUGAAAAUUAUUGCAAAUAGUAACUGUAUUUUUCUUUCUGUAUUUUAUCCAUACAAGUAUUAGGAACAAAAUAUACAAUCAGUUUUAAGAGUUACUUUGCGAUCAUUUCCACUACAAAAUAAAAUUUUGAUUAUGACAUUCAUCACCGGAUAUAGUAAAUAAGAUUUAAACUUUCAGGGUUUUCAUUGAGUUGCUCAUAUAUGUAGAGCAUAACAUGUUUACUCACAAUAUAUUUGAUAACAAAUUAACAAUAAUGAACUGCUAUUGAUCGAUGAUACUUCUUUGUAAAUAAUUUAACCAAUUCUUCUAUUUUAUACUAUUUAAAGCACUUUAGUUAUACCCAACUGAUUUAAGUUUUUGAUGACGAUUAUAUGUCAUCUGAUGGCUACUGCGAUUAUGUGAAGAUACUCUCUUGCAUGGUUUGAAGCAUUAGAUCAAAGUGAACAUAUUCAAGAUGUUUGUUAUAUAAUACGUGUUUUAGUCUUAUUAAUUGAAGGAUUUGUCCUAUAUUUAGCAAUGGUCGUAUCGAUUUAACUUAACCUAUGAGAAUGAAAGAGAAAGAGCACAUAAAGAUGCUGCUCUCAGCCCUAUUCAUGUCAUGACAUCGUUUUGUCCGAGCCAAGGUUUAUGGGGGGCACACGUGUCCUAUGUAAAUGACAUAAUACAGCCAACCUGACAACUGGAAUUUGCUGCCGAAUUAGUUUUCUAUAUUUGAACAUGUGAUAUUUAUGUCUUUAUUCUUAACCUUAGUGCAAUAGUUUAUUUUGUGUUUUUUUUAUUGAGUCAAGUGUUACUUAUUGUUAAGAACUAAUAGCAUUAGUCUUUCUUAUUGUUGAUUGGUGACCAUUGAAUUUUGAUGACAAAGAUUGUAAUUAAUUGUCUAAAAAACCCUAGGCUUUUUGUUUUUCAAUUCUGUUGUCGUUAUCAUGCUUGUUUGAAUCUGAAUAUUGGUCUACCGUCUAUAUUCAGUGGCGGAACCAGAACAUUUAUAGAGGGGGUCAAAAUACAUCAGUAAAAAAAUUAUUUAUUAACGCUUGGAGUGCUUCUUUCAAAUUCAUUUUACCCAAUUAUAGUAUUUCACAACAUCCUAUUCCAACCCUUGUCAACUUUUGAGUUGUGAGUCUAAUGACUUUAAAUACAUAUAUAUAUAUAUAUAUAUAUAUAUAUUAAUUUUUCCCGAACUAUGAGACUAUUAAUCAGAAUUUGAAAUUUUUAGUCAACUGAUUAGCUACUUUUAUAGAUAAAUUACAAAUUACAAUAUUAUAUAUUCAAAAUCUUAUAUUGUGGUUCAUGGGAUUAAUUAGCUUGAAAGAAUGAAUUCCAGCAACAAAAACAAAAACAAAUAGAAGAAGACAUAUUUAAUAAACUUGAUAGGAUAGAACUAUGGUGAACUUAUGGUCACUAUAGUAGGAUAAAAAAAAAUUUGUUUUAUUUCUUUAGCUUUUUAUUUUUAAUUAGUUUAUAGAGAGAAUUGUUACCACUUUUUUUUGCCUCACUUUGAUGAUAAAGUAAAAAAAAAAAAAAACAAAGGAAAAAAGGAAAUACAUAAAAAAAAAAAAAAGGAAAAGGAAAACAAAUAACCCCCGAAAAUUCCAGGGUAUAUGACCCCUGGUUCCGCCCAUGUCUAUAUUACUAUGGAAAUUGUCAAAUCUUCCUGAGUUUGUUGUGGGGUGAGAGAGACUUUUAGAAGGAAUGCUUAAUUACUGAACAUUAAGACAUGAAAUUAGGGUUCCUCUAGCCUCUAGGCAGGAUCCUGGCAAACUGAACUGAUUUGUUUAUCUGCAGCUGCCACCUACAAAUUCUAAUUAAUAUACUUUUUCCACACUCGGAACAAAUAUAUGUAGGUUGAUACACAUACAUUACAAUUUCUUUUUGAAGAACACUGUGAUUCCUUGAUUUUUCACUGAGAAUUUAUAGAACUAAUAAAUAUACAAAGUCCUCAUCAUAGUAUGAAAACAUUAGUUUAUAUCAUGUCUAACUACUUUUAGUUGAUUUCCUUGUGUAUUAUGUAAUAAUUUUAGCCCUUGUUUUCAAUAAGUUUAGAGGAAAGCCUAUAUAAAGACUGAAAUGGUUGCAAGAUAAUAUCUACUAGAUAUCCAGUUUUUGCUUAUCCUUGUUGAAUUAUUUAUUGAGAUAAUCAUUUACUAAUACCCAUUAAAAUUAUAUUAGAAUAUGUCCAAUAUAGUCUAAGAGAGUAUUAUCCACAGAGAAAUUUGGAAUUGGUAGCUGGAUAAGAAGCCUUUCGAACAGUACAAUUAGUGGAUGAUUCCCAUGCUUAAUUUUGUCUAUUACUGAGACUGCAAUCAAUAUUUAAUUUAUCCUCUAUGAAUAAACAUAUAUGUCUAUUGCAUGAACAUUGUUAUGAUCGAAUUCAUUGGAUAAUAAUUUUUAAUGAAAAGGAUAAGAAAUGGAAGGAUUUGGAACAUAGCAUAUGGUUAAAAAGGUAAUCUAUUUCUACUUAAGUGAGAGAGUGCAUGACUGCAUGCUCUACAGCCUAUGGAAAAUUUUGAAUUCUAGAAGUUUCAAUUGGAAAAGGAUUAUAACGAAUGGUCUUACUAUUGGAAUAUCCCCAAAAAUAAACAAGAAUUGAUUAUAAUUGUACCAUACAUGUAGCGACACCUACCGCAGCCUGCAUAUAUGGCCUUUUAUAUUCUCUUAUUUGUUAUUUCUCUGUUUAGGUUUACACCAGGUUUACAGUUAAUACUUCCCACCAACACUAUAUCUGGGUGAAAUAAAUGUUAGCAUGUCAUUUUUGGGUUAAUGUUUUUUGGGUGUUAAUUAUUCUUUUAUUUAUUUAUUUUUUGGUGAGAAGGUGGGGGGGCUUGUUGAAGGAGAGAAAUUUGGUAUGGCUAGCCAUUUUUGCCAACCCAAGAGAGCUGCUAAGGUUUGACAAUUCACAUAGAAGAGUACAUACAUGUAUAUAUACCUAUAACAUAGAGAAACAAGGAUGAAAUGUAAAGAAACAUGGGAGGAUAUAAAGCAAAAGCAAUACCAUUUUCUUGAACCUCUUGUGACUAUAAUCUUUACCUCAAGUGCUUUUAUAUGUUGUUCUUUAGUAGAAAUUUCUUUAUCUACAUAUGACUGGUUAAUUUUCUUUUCUAACCUUGUUGUCGAUAUUGGUUGAUGCUAGCUAAUAAAACUAUAAAAUCUAGGUCCUGAAGCCUCCCUCGUUUUCUCAUAUACUAAUAUUUUUCCUAUUUUUUUUUUUGACAAGGCACAUGAUUAUCUUUUUUAUUUUUUUCUAGGAACAAGUCAAGUCAAGCGGCCGACUGAGGGUAGUUCUUCCUGGAGCUGUCUAAUUGUCUCUUAAAUUCGUGACACAGCUGCUGUUAUUGAUUCGAGUUGACUGAAACUUGUUGGGAAUCUCAGGGAACAUCUACCGGAUAAAUCUUGUCUGUUUGUUUGUUUGUAAGAGUAGGUAUUCAAUUUGUGUUUGCAGAAGUGGUGGAUUCAAUCUCUUGGGCAUAUUUACGAUCGGCUCAAUGGAUGGAAAAUUGAUUGCAGUUUGCAAGUCAUAUCAUAUGUGAUAUUUGACAGAAAAUUGAUAUAAAUAAUGGGAAUUUGUUUGCAAGCUAAUGCAACAUUCUUUCUUUUCAUGAGAGAAAAAUGGAAAACAU